CCAACCGCUCUCAGGCAAUGCGCGUGCCUUCGCUCUGGGCUCCCUGCCUCGCGCUCUAACCGCUCUUGAAGCUUUACUCCGGGAAGGCGCAUGCGCAAGCGCAGAGGCCUGGUUGACGGUUGGGGCCAACAUGGCGGUUGCAGAAUUCCUUACUGAAACCAGAGAAGCCCGAGGAACACUUCUCGUGUCUGAAAAGCGUCGUCCAGCGCCUCAGAGAAGUAGCUCCUGUCACUGAAAAAUCGGGAUCAGAAUGCUGAGAGAAACUGUGGAUCAGAGAAGAUUCUACCAUUGCUGACGUGAGAUGGAGCGAGAGCCAAGAUGAACAUGGGAAAGAAAACGUCCCAUGGAUGAGAUAAUGACAACUUUUGACCUAGAGAGCCUAGACUUUUUUAUGUUGCUUCUCCCAACUUUAUUCUCAAUGAUGAAAGAUUCCAAGUUUAACCACAAGUGACUUUAACCACAAGUGUCUCUGUGUUUCUAACUUUGGUUAUGUUCAAGAUUAUGUUUAAUAAUCAUGACCAUUUUAAAAGCUGAAACUGUCAAAUUUCAGUCCUUCAGACUAAUUAUUUUUUCAGUGAGACUAUCCCAAGUAGUUUAAUCUCACUACAUGGGAGCCAGAGAGCUGCUAGGGAGGGAAGACAUCAAGUGGAAAAUAGGAAAAGCAAAAGCCAGUUUGGUCUCCCAUUAGAAGAAGACAGCCAGGGCUCAAAAGCACACUUGCUACUACAUAGUACUUUAUUAUCCACACGGGAAGUAAUCUAUUAACACUGCAACAACACACACACACAUCCUGUGUGAUUCCAUUCACGUACAGUCUUAGGAAAUGGAAGCAAAUGUACAGUGACUGAAAGCAUAUUAGUAAAUCUGUGUCUGGGGUGGGGAGGGCCAGGCCUGGAAGAAGGGGUACAAAAGCACCGGAGGCUUUGGGGGUGAUAGGCAAUUUUUAAUCUUACUUAUGUAAUGGUUUCCCACUGUACACGUGUCAGAACUUUUCCAGUUGUCCCUUUUAAAUACACAGUUUAUUGUUUCCCAGUUGCAUCUCUAUAAGUGAUAAAGAAAAUCUGCAUCAAAUCCAAGAUUGUAUCACUGGAUGUUAUGCUGGAGUCUUUCUGUAAAAGAAAUAAAAAUAUUGCAGAAACAUUGCUUUUUUUCAGUCUCUUCCCUGUUUUUCUCUUUUCCAAUGCCAUUUCCUAAAAGUAAGCCCUGUCAAGAUAUUAGGGCACAUCCUUUGCACAUUUUUAUGCAUAUCCCAUUGUGCAUUACAUUUACUUUCUUCUGUGAGUUUAGAAUAUUUCCACAAAUACUAUGAUAUUGGGAAAUUACCUAAUUUGUGAUUUUCUGCCUGCUAUACCAGCUACCAACAUUGGCUGCUCAAGUUAUGACUACUUUUCUUACAUGCCAUGAAUCUCCCUCUGCCAGAUUCCUUUUUUGUUUGUUUUUGCUAAAGCAUAUUUUUAAGAAAUCUUAGAUAUUUCUAUGCAGCUACAAAAGGUAUACAGAUGAGAGACAAACUUUCCAAUCCCACCCGGAAUGUCCAAAAGUGUCUCUUUUUUGUUUUUCACUUCUAUUUGAUCAGUAGCUUGAAUGAGAAUAGAAUUUAAGGCCCUAAAUCUUUUUCUAAGACAUUUUCUACUACCAGCCC
ensembl:lncRNA